UUAAAAUGAAUGCGCUGGCGAGAUCUACUAUAAUAGACGCAAUGGUGAAAUCUACACGUCUCAAUUCUCCAGCAGCAGCCGUCUUUGUUGUAAAUGAAUCCAACCCAUGCGCUCUUUGUUGACGUGGUUGAUUACUAUACUGUUGAUCAUCUGUCCAUCAUGAUUUAAAGCCCGCCCUGACAAUUUGAAUGGCUGGAGUUUAAGA